AAAGCACUUUCAGUCGUGAGGAAGGUAGUGUAGUUAAUAGCUGCAUUAUUUGACGUUAGCGACAGAAGAAGCACCGGCUAACUCCGUGCCAGCAGCCGCGGUAAUACGGAGGGUGCGAGCGUUAAUCGGAAUUACUGGGCGUAAAGCGCAUGCAGGUGGUUUGUUAAGUUCAGAUGUGAAAGACCCGGGGCGUCAACCUCGGAAUAGCAUUUGUAAACUGGCAGACUAGAGUACUGUAGAGGGGGGUAGGAAUUUCAGGUGUAGCGGUGAAAUGCGUAGAGAUCUGAAGGAAUACCGGUGGCGAAGGCGGCCCCCUCGGACAGAUACUGACACUCAGAUGCGAAAGCGUGGGGAGCAAACAGGAUUAGAUACCCCUGGUAG
rnacentral:rRNA from 1 species